GUCUGACAAUUUGGAGUGCUUUCUUCUUUAAUCGUUGAAUUUUAUUGGUGGAAGACAAGUAGACAACUGUUUAGACAACUUAUCAUAUUGAAUUGGGCAUAGACCAGUGAUUAAAGGGAAGAUACAUCAGCUCUGAAGAGAAGUGAAUUGUUCCAGUCCUUGACAAUAUAA